UAUGAAGUCGGAAUUGCUAGUAAUCGCGGAUCAGCAUGCCGCGGUGAAUACGUUCCCGGGCCUUGUACACACCGCCCGUCACACCAUGAGAGUCGAUAACACCCGAAGCCUGUAGUCUAACAGCAAUGAGGACGCAGUCGAAGGUGGGAUUGAUAAUUAGGGUGAAGUCGUAACAAGGUACC
rnacentral:rRNA from 1 species